GUUGGCUUAGAAGCAGCCACUCAUUCAAAGAGUGCGUAAUAGCUCACUGGUCGAGUGAUCCUGCGCCGAAGAUUUCCGGGGCUAAAACUUACUACCGAAGCUACGGCAUCAGGAAUGAUGGGUAGGGGAGCUUCCCAUACGGGUUGAAGCAUGACCGUAAGGACAUGUGGACAGUAUGGGAGUGAGAAUGUUGGCAUGAGUAGCGAGA
rnacentral:rRNA from 1 species